AUUGAACGCUGGCGGCAGGCCUAACACAUGCAAGUCGAACGAGUGGCGGACGGGUGAGUAAUGUCUGGGAAACUGCCUGAUGGAGGGGGAUAACUACUGGUAACGGUAGCUAAUACCGCAUACCAUCAGAUGUGCCCAGAUGGGAUGAGAUAGUUGGUGGGGUAACGGCUCACCAAGGCGACGAUCCCUAGCUGGUCUCAGAGGAUGACCAGCGAGACGGGAACUGAGAGACGGGCCAGACUCCUACGGGAGGGAGCAGUGGGGAAUAUUGGACAAUGGGCGCAAGCCUGAGGCAGCCAUGGCGCGUGUAUGAAGAAGGCCUUCGGGGUGUAAAGUACUUUCAGCGGGGAGGCGUUAACCGCAGAAGAAGCACCGGCUAAAUCCGUGCCAGCAGCCGCGGUAAUUC
rnacentral:rRNA from 1 species